rnacentral:rRNA from 1 species
GAGCUAUACAUGCAAACAGAGUUCCGACCAGAGAUGGAAGGAAUGCUUUUAUUAGAUCAAAACCAAUCGGUGGCGGGCUUGCCUUGCUCACCGUUUGACUUGGUGACUCUGAAUAACUUUGUGCUGAUCGCACGGUCACGUACCGGCGACGCAUCUUUCAAAUGUCUGCCCUAUCAACUGUCGAUGGUAGUUUCUUCGACUACCAUGGUUGUUACGGGUAACGGGGAAUCAGGGUUCGAUUCCGGAGAGGGAGCCUGAGAAACGGCUACCACAUCCAAGGAAGGCAGCAGGCGCGCAAAUUACCCACUCCCGGCACGGGGAGGUAGUGACGAAAAAUAACGAUACGGGACUCAUCCGAGGCCCCGUAAUCGGAAUGAGUACACUUUAAAUCCUUUAACGAGGACCCAUUGGAGGGCAAGUCUGGUGCCAGCAGCCGCGGUAACUCCAGCUCCAAUAGCGUAUAUUAAAGUUGUUGCGGUUAAAAAGCUCGUAGUUGAAUCUGUGUCCCACACUGUCGGUUCACCGCUCGCGGUGUUCAACUGGCAUGUCUGUGGGACGUCCUACCGGUGGGCGCAGCCCGUCAAACGGCGGCCCAACUUAAAAUCCUACCACGGUGCUCUUCACCGAGUGUCGAGGUGGGCCGGUACGUUUACUUUGAACAAAUUAGAGUGCUUAAAGCAGGCUCAUUCGCCUGAAUAUUCUGUGCAUGGAAUAAUGGAAUAGGACCUCGGUUCUAUUUUGUUGGUUUUCGGAACUCCGAGGUAAUGAUUAAUAGGGACAACUGGGGGGCAUUCGUAUUGUGACGUUAGAGGUGAAAUUCUUGGAUCGUCGCAAGACGGACAGAAGCGAAAGCAUUUGCCAAAUGUGUUUUCAUCAAUCAAGAACGAAAGUUAGAGGUUCGAAGGCGAUCAGAUACCGCCCUAGUUCUAACCAUAAACGAUGCCAGCUAGCGAUCCGCCGAAGUUCCUCCGAUGACUCGGCGGGCAGCUUCCGGGAAACCAAAGCUUUUGGGUUCCGGGGGAAKUAUGGUUGCAAAGCUGAAACUUAAAGGAAUUGACGGAAGGGCACCACCAGGAGUGGAGCCUGCGGCUUAAUUUGACUCAACACGGAAACCUCACCAG